GAUGAACGCUGGCGGCGUGCCUAAUACAUGCAAGUCGAGCGAACGGACGAGAAGCUUGCUUCUCUGAUGUUAGCGGCGGACGGGUGAGUAACACGUGGAUAACCUACCUAUAAGACUGGGAUAACUUCGGGAAACCGGAGCUAAUACCGGAUAAUAUUUUGAACCGCAUGGUUCAAAAGUGAAAGACGGUCUUGCUGUCACUUAUAGAUGGAUCCGCGCUGCAUUAGCUAGUUGGUAAGGUAACGGCUUACCAAGGCAACGAUGCAUAGCCGACCUGAGAGGGUGGUCGGCCACACUGGAACUGAGACCCGGUCCAGACUCCUACGGGAGGCAGCAGUAGGGAAUCUUCCGCAAUGGGCGAAAGCCUGACGGAGCAACGCCGCGUGAGUGAUGAAGGUCUUCGGAUCGUAAAACUCUGUUAUUAGGGAAGAACAUAUGUGUAAGUAACUGUGCACAUCUUGACGGUACCUAAUCAGAAAGCCACGGCUAACUACGUG
rnacentral:rRNA from 1 species